rnacentral:lncRNA from 1 species
UGACAGAUGAAGAAACUGAGCCACAGGGGCUCCUUAACUUGUCUCGGGUGGCACAGACAUCAGCUGUGCCAUCUCAGUCCUGCCAUCUCAGUCCUGCCCCCAGGCCCUCUCAGUCCUGCCCUUGUGCCCUUGCUCCUGAGAGUUUAAGCACCUUCCUUCCUGCAUCCCAGCGACUGCAGCUCUCCUACCUGCUCCCCACAGACCAAGGGAGCCAUGAACAUCAUCUGCCCCUGCAAAAGGGGCUUGAGUUGCUCAUCCAAGGAUGUGAUGUGUCCCCGCCGGUGCCACUUGAUUUAGAGGAGGAUACAGGCUGGUCAAUUUCUUGGGGCCAGAGGCCCUGGCCACCCCCAACUUGCUCCAAAUCCAGCUCCUGAGACAUUAAAGUCACUUUCUGGC